rnacentral:rRNA from 1 species
CCCUUAGAUGUUCUGGGCCGCACGCGCGCUACACUGAUGAAUGCAACGAGCUCUACCCUUGACCGAAAGGCCCGGGUAAACUUGUGAAACUUCAUCGUGAUGGGGAUAGAUUAUUGCAAUUAUUAAUCUUCAACGAGGAAUUCCUAGUAAGCGCGAGUCAUCAGCUCGCGUUGAUUACGUCCCUGCCCUUUGUACACACCGCCCGUCGCUCCUACCGAUUGAAUGGUCCGGUGAAAUCUUCGGAUUGCUGACCAAGAUCCAGCAAUGGAGCUUGGUUGCGAGAAGUUGAUUAAACCUUGUUAUUUAGAGGAAGGAGAAGUCGUAACA